rnacentral:rRNA from 1 species
UACGUAGGGGGCAAGCGUUGUCCGGAAUCAUUGGGCGUAAAGGGCGCGUAGGUGGCCCGGUCAGUCCGUGGUGAAAGCGCGGGGCUCAACCCCGCGUCGGCCAUGGAUACUGCUGGGCUGGAGCACUGUAGAGGCAGGCGGAAUUCCGGGUGUAGCGGUGGAAUGCGUAGAGAUCCGGAAGAACACCGGUGGCGAAGGCGGCCUGCUGGGCAGUUGCUGACACUGAGGCGCGACAGCGUGGGGAGCAAACAGG